rnacentral:rRNA from 1 species
UGGGGAAUAUUGGACAAUGGGCGAAAGCCUGAUCCAGCCAUGCCGCGUGUGUGAAGAAGGUCUUCGGAUUGUAAAGCACUUUAAGUUGGGAGGAAGGGCAGUAAGCGAAUACCUUGCUGUUUUGACGUUACCGACAGAAUAAGCACCGGCUAACUCUGUGCCGGCAGCCGCGGUAAUACAGAGGGUGCAAGCGUUAAUCGGAAUUACUGGGCGUAAAGCGCGCGUAGGUGGUUCGUUAAGUUGAAUGUGAAAGCCCCGGGCUCAACCUGGGAACUGCAUCCAAAACUGGCGAGCUAGAGUAGGGCAGAGGGUGGUGGAAUUUCCUGUGUAGCGGUGAAAUGCGUAGAUAUAGGAAGGAACACCAGUGGCGAAGGCGACCACCUGGGCUCAUACUGACACUGAGGUGCGAAAGCGUGGGGAGCAAACAGG